rnacentral:rRNA from 1 species
CUUGGUGCCUAUACAGGAAUACACUGAACCUCAUCUGAUCUCAGAAGCUAAACAGUCUGGGCCUGGCUAGGACUUGGAUGGGAGAUCACCUGGGAAUCCUGGGUGCUAUAGGC